rnacentral:rRNA from 1 species
UACGUAGGGUGCAAGCGUUAAUCGGAAUUACUGGGCGUAAAGCGCACGUAGGUGGCUUGAUAAGUUGGGUGUGAAAUCCCCGGGCUUAACCUGGGAAUUGCAUUCAAGACUGUCUUGCUAGAGUGUGGAAGAGGGAAGCGGAAUUCCAGGUGUAGCGGUGAAAUGCGUAGAUAUCUGGAGGAACAUCAGUGGCGAAGGCGGCUUCCUGGUCCAACACUGACACUGAGGUGCGAAAGCGUGGGGAGCAAACAGG